GACGAACGCUGGCGGCGUGCCUAAUACAUGCAAGUCGAACGCUUCUUUCCUCCCGAGUGCUUGCACUCAAUUGGAAAGAGGAGUGGCGGACGGGUGGGUAACACGUGGGUAACCUACCCAUCAGAGGGGGAUAACACUUGGAAACAGGUGCUAAUACCGCAUAACAGUUUAUGCCGCAUGGCAUAAGAGUGAAAGGCGCUUUCGGGUGUCGCUGAUGGAUGGACCCGCGGUGCAUUAGCUAGUUGGUGAGGUAACGGCUCACCAAGGCCACGAUGCAUAGCCGACCUGAGAGGGUGAUCGGCCACACUGGGACUGAGACACGGCCCAGACUCCUACGGGAGGCAGCAGUAGGGAAUCUUCGGCAAAGGACGAAAGUCUGACCGAGCAACGCCGCGUGAGUGAAGAAGGUUUUCGGAUCGUAAAACUCUGUUGUUAGAGAAGAACAAGGACGUUAGUAACUGAACGUCCCCUGACGGUAUCUAACCAGAAAGCCACGGCUAACUACGUG
rnacentral:rRNA from 1 species